CCCACCCUGGCACGCGAACCAAGAAAGGUUAGCCAUCACUGGGCUAGGCCCUGUGUGGCUCCUUCCUGAGCCCUCCUUCCCAGCAAGGCCUAGCAUGGCAGCUAGGCCUUGCAUUACUAAGAGGGAGGAGGUGACCGGGAGUUCCGGGACAGCUGCUAUCCCCAGGACGGGACGUUCCAGAUGGUUGAAAAACCAUGAAUGUCUUGCCUGGAACCGGGAUAUGGCAAGCCUACCUUAAGCAAAGGAAUACCAUGAAGCUGAAAACAAGUCUAGAUGGUUCCUGCUGAGCAAGAACCAGCCUCAUUCAGGACGUAAACCAAAUUUGAUUGUCCGUUUUUCUUGCCUUCCUUUUUCAAGAAGGAAAAACAGGAAGAAUAAAGGAAGAAAGAGAGAAAAAUGUUUCUGAACUAAAAGGAACAAGACAGAUUCUUAUGUUUCUAUCAUAAACCCACCGGCACAGUUGUCCUGCUGACACUCCCAUCUUCACUUUGGUGUUUUCUGUGGUGGUGGUGGGGAAGUUCUGAACUUUCUCGAUAAUCACGCCCCUUGGUGUUUUGCAUGUCAAGUACUACCUGGCUUUUUGAUGGAAGAGGAGGCUUGCUUUGCCCUACUUCAGACCUUGAGAAUUUGACAGGUUUCUUGAAUGUUGGCUGUCCAGGGUCUAAGUUGGCACAGAACCUCUGCCUGUUCUGAGUCUUUUCAAUCACUGCAGUCUUUUCCUCAGAAUGGCUGGAACAGGUAUAUGAGCGAACUCUGGGUGUGGAGGUGAGGAAAGGUGGAGAAGAUUGUUGUUUGACAGAAGGCUUGCUGGCCUCACUCUCCUGUAACUUGGUGAAAGGAAAGCUCUGAUCAGGAAGAGUUGGGAGUUCUUUUCGUGCCACCUUGAAAAAAUCCUGAUCCUUUUUAGACUGCAGCUUGUCCUUGGAUUUUGUGAAGUCAUAUAAUGGGUUGUCAAUCAUUUCUGGUUUUGAGUAUGCUGCUUCAGGUAGCAAGGGUUCCGUCAUGCUUUUCCUCACCUCAGCAUAUCUGGAGUGGGUUGGGAGACAACAGCCAAAGGGGAACUGAGUUAAAUGUAAACCAUUAGGUAAAGUGAAUUGGUUGCCUCAGCCAAUUGGCUUCACCUAACAAUAAUUAAAAUAUACUAAAUUGGUAGGUAAUCUAUUUUAUUGCUGUGGAAAGGGAGAGGUAAAUUGGAUUUUUUCCUCAGGUACCAAAAUCACUUGCUUGAUCAUAGGUACUAUGCAUCAUGACUGGGAAGGGAAGCUGUUCAGGAAACGAAAUGUCUUGGGCUUGCCAAGGAGAAAUGUUAAACAGAAAAGAAAAAUGUGUUGUCUGAAGAAGGGGGAAAUGGAGAUACUGAAUUUCACACGAUAGUGAUGAUGUUUACAUUGACUCCCCACCAUUAUAAUUGUAGAAAUAAAUGGAAUGUUAUCA